rnacentral:rRNA from 1 species
GCGUGAGUGAUGAGGGUUUCGGCUCGUAAAACUCUGUUAUUAGGGAAGAACAAAUGUGUAAGUAACUGUGCACGUCUUGACGGUACCUAAUCAGAAAGCCACGGCUAACUACGUGCCAGCAGCCGCGGUAAUACGUAGGUGGCAAGCGUUAUCCGGAAUUAUUGGGCGUAAAGCGCGCGUAGGCGGUUUCUUAAGUCUGAUGUGAAAGCCCACGGCUCAACCGUGGAGGGUCAUUGGAAACUGGGAAACUUGAGUGCAGAAGAGGAAAGUGGAAUUCCAUGUGUAGCGGUGAAAUA